rnacentral:rRNA from 1 species
GAUGAACGCUGGCGGCGUGCCUAAUACAUGCAAGUCGAGCGAACAGACGAGGAGCUUGCUCCUCUGACGUUAGCGGCGGACGGGUGAGUAACACGUGGAUAACCUACCUAUAAGACUGGGAUAACUUCGGGAAACCGGAGCUAAUACCGGAUAAUAUAUUGAACCGCAUGGUUCAAUAGUGAAAGACGGUUUUGCUGUCACUUAUAGAUGGAUCCGCGCCGCAUUAGCUAGUUGGUAAGGUAACGGCUUACCAAAGUAACGAUGCGUAGCCGACCUGAGAGGGUGAUCGGCCACACUGGAACUGAGACACGGUCCAGACUCCUACGGGAGGCAGCAGUAGGGAAUCUUCCGCAAUGGGCGAAAGCCUGACGGAGCAACGCCGCGUGAGUGAUGAAGGUCUUCGGAUCGUAAAACUCUGUUAUUAGGGAAGAACAAAUGUGUAAGUAACGAUGCACGUCUUGACGGUACCUAAUCAGAAAGCCACGGCUAACUACGU